UUGAGAGCGGCGGACGGGUGAGUAUGCCUAGGAAUCUGCCUGGUAGUGGGGGAUAACGUCCGGAAACGGACGCUAAUACCGCAUACGUCCUACGGGAGAAAGCAGGGGACCUUCGGGCCUUGCGCUAUCAGAUGAGCCUAGGUCGGAUUAGCUAGUUGGUGAGGUAAAGGCUCACCAAGGCGACGAUCCGUAACUGGUCUGAGAGGAUGAUCAGUCACACUGGAACUGAGACACGGUCCAGACUCCUACGGGAGGCAGCAGUGGGGAAUAUUGGACAAUGGGCGAAAGCCUGAUCCAGCCAUGCCGCGUGUGUGAAGAAGGUCUUCGGAUUGUAAAGCACUUUAAGUUGGGAGGAAGGGUCGUUACCUAAUACGUGACGAUUUUGACGUUACCGACAGAAUAAGCACCGGCUAACUCUGUGCCAGCAGCCGCGGUAAUACAGAGGGUGCAAGCGUUAAUCGGAAUUACUGGGCGUAAAGCGCGCGUAGGUGGUUUGUUAAGUUGAAUGUGAAAUCCCCGGGCUCAACC
rnacentral:rRNA from 1 species